rnacentral:rRNA from 1 species
UACGGGGGGCAAGCGUUGUUCGGAAUUACUGGGCGUAAAGGGCUCGUAGGCGGCCAACUAAGUCAUACGUGAAAUCCCUCAGCUUAACUGGGGAACUGCGUGUGAUACUGGAUGGCUUGGAUUUGGGAGAGGGAUGCGGAAUUCCAGGUGUAGCGGUGAAAUGCGUAGAUAUCUGGAGGAACACCGGUGGCGAAGGCAGCCUCCUGGGCUAGGUACUGACGCUCAUGCACGAAAAGCGUGGGGGAGCAAACAGG